ACAUUUGAUUUUGACAUUUAGUGUCGGCUCGGUCAGUUUCGGCCGCUAAGCUAAACCUUUUCGAUAAACAUACAAAUUACAAAGUAAAAUCAAAGAAGAUUUGUCUAAGAACGAGUGUUAUCUCGGCUUAUGAUUGUUUUUUGAUAAUAGUAAUUUGAAUUGUUUGCUUUUUAUGUGCAGCUUCGGGGAAACGAAAUGAUUGGUGCAAAACGCCAAUUUUUUAUUAAUGAAAAAUAACAAGUGUUUCGUGAACCUUGGUUAAUGUAAUGAUUAAAUUAAAUACCGUAAUAAUGUGAGUGAAACGCUAGGUAAUAUAAUAGGUAUUUAUAACAUUUCAAACAUUGUCUUGGGUUGUGAUGUUAUUUUCAUCCCGACAUGGGAAAGUUCAGCACAUACAGGUACUUAGAGUUAAAAGAUAGCAAUUCAGUGGGGCCAGUGAGCUCGCGCAGCAUCUCCCUCCAGCGGCCGCGCCGUCUCAAGCGAUUCUUCAUCCUGCUCAUUGUGGUGACCCUCUGUGGCACUUACCUCAUGGGGCUGCUGGCGGGGCAGCC